rnacentral:rRNA from 1 species
ACGGAAGGCAGCAGUGGGGAAUAUUGGACAAUGGGGGCAACCCUGAUCCAGCGACGCCGCGUGAGUGAAGAAGUAAUUCGUUAUGUAAAGCUCUAUCAGCAGGGACGAUAAUGACGGUACCUGACUAAGAAGCUCCGGCUAAAUACGUGCCAGCAGCCGCGGUAAUACGUAGGUUGCAAGCGUUGUCCGGAUUUACUGGGUGUAAGGGCGUGUAGGCGGAGCUGCAAGUCAGAUGUGAAAUCCCGGGGCUCAACCCCGGAACUGCAUUUGAAACUGUAGCCCUUGAGUAUCGGAGAGGUAAGCGGAAUUCCUAGUGUAGCGGUGAAAUGCGUAGAUAUUAGGAGGAACACCAGUGGCGAAGGCGGCUUGCUGGACGACAACUGACGCUGAGGCGCGAAAGCGUGGGAGCAAACAGGAUUAGAUACCCUGGUA